UACGUAGGGGGCGAGCGUUGUCCGGAUUUAUUGGGCGUAAAGCGCGUGUAGGCGGCCAGGUAGGUCCGCUGUGAAAACUCGAGGCUCAACCUCGAGACGUCGGCGGAAACCAUCUGGCUAGAGUCCGGAAGAGGAGAGUGGAAUUCCUGGUGUAGCGGUGAAAUGCGCAGAUAUCAGGAAGAAUAUCCGUGGCGAAGGCGGCUCUCUGGGACGGUACUGACGCUGAGACGCGAAAAGCGUGGGGGAG
rnacentral:rRNA from 1 species